GCUUCACAGCUUCAAGAUCCAACAGCUACAAACUGGAACCCCAACUACUAACCCUUUGACUCGUUGACUAGCCUUUAGACUUCAUACUUUCCCUUUAUACAUAUUUCUACUGAGCUUCUCCUUCUAUCUUCAACCUUCGACUCUUCUCUACAAACAAUUGGAACAAUAUUCCCCUGUUAGAACACCUUGCCUGCAAGUGAGGAUACGUGCUCUUAAGGCUGAUAUACGAUUCACAAGUGGUGUCCUCAACCCUCUAUCCUUUUGCCAACAGAUGGAGACAGAUCCAGGCGGUAGGCCACCAAUUCCACCCUUUGCAGCACUUGAAAGGGCCUGUAAUACCUCAGGGCCAAUUUUAAAUCCCUCCUCUAUGACAUCGAUAUAUGGGCUGUAAAUGGAGAUAGACCCAGCCCCCAACGGCUGUAAUUUCUUAUGUAAGGGGGUGCGUACCUGUAUAACGCCUCGAAUGGAGACAACCUUGUUUAGGCAUGAAUAUUGGUGUUGUACUACCAUUCGGCCAAGGGAACCCAAUUCAGUCCCUUGGCUGAUCUCCAUCAAAACAUCUCAGGUAAUUCUCUAAACACUUAUUUACUGCUUCUGAUUGGCCAUCGGACUGAGGGUGGUAUUUAGUGGAGAAAGCCAUUUGUAACCCCUUGUAGUUUAAGAAAUUCCUGCCAGAAAUGAUUAGUAAAGGUAAGGUCACAGCCUGAGAUAAUGGAUAGAGGUAGCCAUGGAGUUUAAAGAUAUGUUUAAGGAAGACCUGGGCUAUAGUUUUUGCUGUGUAAGGGUGGGCUAUGGGUGUGAAAUGGCUGUACUUUUGCAAGUGAUCCACCACAACCCAAAAGUUGUUGUACUGUUGUAAAGAGGGAAGGCCUUCUAUGAAAUCCAUGGUUAUAUGUGACCCUGGUUGAGAGGGUACUAGUAACUUGGUAAGGGUUUUAGGAGUUCGGAAGGAUAACUCUUCUCACCUUUCACCAUCUGGCACACAUCACAUUCCCUUACAUAUUUCUUCACAUCUGCUUUGAGUCAAGCCCAGAAAAAUUCCUUUUGAGCAUGGUGCAUAGUCUUGUUAUAACCUGCAUGUCCCCACAAUGAACUCCUAUGUACCCAAUCAAAUAGCUUGGCCUUAAAGGCCUCAUCCCUCAUAACAUAUAGUCGGCCCUUGUAAAACAAAAGGCCCUCUAAUAAAUCUUCUGUAUGCGUAGCAUCCCGUAUGCCCCACCGCGAUCUGCCAAUAGAGGGUGGAGACCACCACGAGCGUGUAUAUAAACGAAUCCUGAGCACAGAUUAGCUCUCUUAACAAUUUUCUUCUUAUAGUCAGACACAAAAAGAUAAUUAUAACUUAAGCAUCGGAGGCGACCCUCGAGCCCUCAUCUCUUCGAGUCUUGUAGGUGAGGCGAAGGAAUUGUAGAGUUGCUCGAACUGUAAAACACGACAUCAACAAAUUGAAUUCCAAACUAACUUCCAAAUCCAUCGAUUUAAUGAAUCAACACAUUAGUGAGGGGAAAAAACAAGGGCAUUAGAACAUGGAGAGAACAAAUUAAGCUUAGGGUCCGAAUAGGGCAUCAGUUAAUGAAGUAUUUGUUAAACUUUCUUCAACAUUUUACAAAAUCUUUAUUGGUAAAGGAAGACGUUUAAGAAAUAUUAACAGGGUAUGUGUGGAU